rnacentral:tmRNA from 1 species
GGGGGUGUUCCGGAUUCGACCGGCCCGGUUGGGUGUUGAUUGCAUGCCGAGGAUGAUCGUUGGCCUCGUUAAACAUCGGUCGAAACGAUAAACGCGAACGAAGAGUUUGCUCUGGCGGCUUAAUUCCCGCCACGCUGCCGUUCCCGAGGAGUGCUAAGGAACCGUGGCGUCAUUCAGCGCUCUGGCUUUGAACAAUCGUCUUUCGGUUCAGGGCGAGAUCAAAGGAAAGAAUAGUCUGGAGCCAGGCCUGUUCAUCGGCUUCGGUGAAGGACGAUAAAAACCAAAGAUGAAAUAAGCAUGUAGACGUCCUCAUUGGACCUCGUCGGCACGCGGGUUCGACUCCCGCCACCUCCACCA